rnacentral:rRNA from 1 species
AACGAACGCUGGCGGCAGGCUUAACACAUGCAAGUCGAGCGCCCCGCAAGGGGAGCGGCAGACGGGUGAGUAACGCGUGGGAAUCUACCCAUCUCUACGGAACAACACCGGGAAACUGGAGCUAAUACCGUAUACGUCCUAAGGGAGAAAGAUUUAUCGGAGAUGGAUGAGCCCGCGUUGGAUUAGCUAGUUGGUGGGGUAAUGGCCUACCAAGGCGACGAUCCAUAGCUGGUCUGAGAGGAUGAUCAGCCACACUGGGACUGAGACACGGCCCAGACUCCUACGGGAGGCAGCAGUGGGAAUAGUUGGACAAUGGGCGCAAAGGCCUGAUCCAGCCAAUGCCGCGUGAGUGAUGAAGGCCCUAGGG